CACCAAAAGUACCCACGGACCCAACCCAAUCCAAACCAGUGAGGUUUUCCUCCUCUCCCACUCAGCCGCCGCCUCCCCCAAUCCCAUCCCCAACAGCGGCGAUCUUGUCUCCCCCAUCCCCAACAGCGGCGAUCUUGUCUCCCCCAUCCCCGGCGUCUGCCCUCUACCAAUCGCUGGCGCCCCUACACCCUCCUUCUCAACUCGAGCCGCUCAGACCGCGGCAACCACGCACCGGCACAGAAGGUUCCCUCCUCCCACGGCCACCGUGCCCUCGUCCUCCACCCCCAAGCCUCUCCGCGUCCAACCUCACCGCGCCGCCGCCUCCCUCCCUCCCUCCACCGCACCGAAGCCCCAGUCUUCCAUCCAUGGAUGGGGCGACAGAGAGGCGGAAGCACCUCUCCCGGCGACGACGGCGCCGGAUCCGCACCCACCUACGGCGGCUGCUGCACGAGCAGCACGAUGGAUGCCGUCAGUGAACUCAAGCUGCCCGCAUGGGGUGGAUCCCGUCCACCCCCUUCUUUCGCCUGGGCGUGGCACAUGGGGGAGCUCACGGCCAUCGACGACGGCGAGCUAGGAGGCUCCCGCAGCACCUUUGACCACAAUCCCGACGUGCUGCAGGACCUAGACAGCCAAGGGUGCCUCUGCGGCCAGCCACCGGGACGACGUCGACAGCCAAAGGAAGGGUUCUUGAGGUGCUCCUUCUCCACCGGCAGAGAGGUACCCCCUUCUUGGGUGGUACUCGUGUGCCUGCUCUGACCCUACCAUGGAAGGAUUCGUUUGGUACAACACCAUGACCGAUGCAGACAACAAGGCCUUCAAUGAGCCAGGUACCUUGGUGCUACUGCUUCCGUGCGAUGGCAGCAGGGGUUGUUGUUCGGCAUCGGCUGCAAAAACAGCCAUGGCCUCACUUGGUCUGGUUCAGGGGAGGGUGGUGCCCAUGGUGUGGCCGCAUUGCAAGAUGGGCCGCAUCAACAAGAGGGUGCCCUAAGGAAGAGUCAUAUGGUCAUUUUGGUGACUGAGGAUGCUGGACAAGAUCUCAUCACCCAAAGCAUGAAUUUGUGGACCUUGGCAUAUAUUCCUUGGUUCAGGCAAGUCUUUGGGGCUCGCUGACCACAAGGACCAACUUGGAGCUCCUCUCUGCCCUUGCAGGCAACACGACGACAAGGCCGCUGAGGCGUAGCACGGGUUUUAGAACUACCGUGUGUUCCCAUGCGAGAAUGCCACUUGACCAUGUGUUGUUGGGUAAAACUUCUUGAUGCAGUGAUCAAUGAGCAACCCUGUCAAGUUGGCCAAAUAAGCAAUCCAUGGAUGGAUUCUAGCAAUUGAUUCAUCCAUCUAUCCAUCCAUCUCUAAGGGAAGAAGCAGAAGAACCAAAGAAGAUGGCAAUCUCUAUGCGCAGCCUGUCACUGAUAUCGGAGGGAUGAGGGCAACUUUGGAUCAUGUUGCCUACGGUUCCUCCUCCUAUGACACCGCAGCCGCUACAACUUGCACAUGUGCUCACCAAGAUCCUUCGCUAGGUAUACCAACUCAGGACAGCAAGGCAAAUCACAAUCCAUCAGACUGCAACAACCCUCAUAGCAGAUGCAGCUAGCAAAGAUGAGAUCCAGGCGAGGGUUCCACAGCUAAAGAAGUAGCUCUUUGAAACUAAUUCCAUAUAUGAUUAUGAGUAGUUGGUUGAGAGAGUUGCAAAACUUUCUAGUGGUGUGGCCAUCAUCAAGGUUGGAGCGACAACCGAGCCAGAGCUUGAGGACCGGCAAAUGUGGAUCGAGGACGCAUAGAAUUCCACCUUUGCGGCCAUCUAGGAGGGCAUUGUUCUCGAUAGUGGCUUGACUUAUGUGCACGUGUCUACCUAUGUCCCUGUGAUCAAGUAAAGAAUCGAAGACCAUGAUGGUUGCCUUGAUGCCGACAUCAUUCUGAAGAUACCUGAUAAGGUUCGGCCCAUCUAAGGAAGAAGUGGAGCUGCCCAAACCUCAAAGGUUAUACAUGCAGCAAGGAGAAUCUAGGAAAUUGGCAACGGGUGCACAAGAUUCGCCUCCUGCCCUGCUCUUCCGGUGGCUGAUUCUUCUUCGACUCCGCCGUAGGCGUCAAGUCUCUCCUUGCUCCCUCAUGCAUG